rnacentral:lncRNA from 1 species
CCCGGACCUCAAGCGUGGCCGUAUUGAAUCGCGCCACGAAGUGUCGGAGCGUCUCAUUCUCUCCCUGUUUGAGGGAGAAAAGGCUGUCCGACGUUCGCGGCGGCUUCCGGCUGGUGCUGAAGUGAGCCACGAAAGAGUGCUCGAGCUGUCCGAAGGAGUGGAUACUUUCCGAUCGAAGACCGGAGUACCAGGCCCUGGCAGCCUUGCGGAGUGUGGCGGGGAAGCCGAUGCAAAAGAGAGCGUCGGUUGCCCCCUAAAUCAUCAUGAGAGCUUUGUAGCUCUUAAGGUGGUCGAUUGGGUCGGUGGAGCCAUCGUAUGGCUCCACGUGCGGCAUCUUGAACCGACUGGAGAUCGGUUCGUCGAGAACGAGUCGAGAGAGAGGUUGGGCGGUCUGGAAGUCGACGUCGUUCGAAGACUUCUGGCCGUCCACCUGCAACUGCGUAAGCCGACGGUCGAUUUCCUCGAACCUGCGCUCGUAGUCGUCCGUCCGUCGGUGCUGGGAGACCCCAGG